UGGGGAAUAUUGGACAAUGGGGGCAACCCUGAUCCAGCCAUGCCGCGUGAGUGAUGAAGGCCCUAGGGUUGUAAAGCUCUUUCAGCGAGGAGGAUAAUGACGUUACUCGCAGAAGAAGCCCCGGCUAACUUCGUGCCAGCAGCCGCGGUAAUACGAAGGGGGCUAGCGUUGUUCGGAAUCACUGGGCGUAAAGCGCACGUAGGCGGAUUGGUCAGUUAGGGGUGAAAUCCCAGAGCUCAACUCUGGAACUGCCUUUAAUACUGCCAGUCUUGAGUCCGAGAGAGGUGAGUGGAACUCCGAGUGUAGAGGUGAAAUUCGUAGAUAUUCGGAAGAACACCAGUGGCGAAGGCGGCUCACUGGCUCGGUACUGACGCUGAGGUGCGAAAGCGUGGGGAGCAAACAGG
rnacentral:rRNA from 1 species